AGCAAUCCACAUCUCCAUACGCACAGCUGCUGCCCCGCCCCCCUGCUCUCCCAAAACAGUGUCCUUGAUUCUAUUGCUUUUGUUAUGUAGGAAAUAGAAUCUUAAACAUGUAGGGCUGGAAGGGACAUGGAAGAGUCAUCUAGAUCAACACCCUGAGCUGAGGCAGGACCAGUUUCUUUCACAGAUGGGGACAUUGUCUGGUAACAGCUCCGUGCCAAAUUAUUGGGACUUGACUGACAGAUUGUUUGAAUGAAAAUACGCACUAACCACAAAUGCCAAGUUUGCUUAGCCCAUCUGUAUGGCUCGAGAGAAACUUCUUCAUCUAUUUCUCCUGUUACCUCCAGCUAAAGGUGAGGUUUCUUCUGAUGACACAUGGUGGCUCACCAGUCCUGAAGAAUGGGAUCAUCUUUUAUCCAGCCAACAGGAACAAUUAAAGCAUCUGAAGAACAAGUUUCCCCACAGUGCCCUGCCAAUUUACUUUAACUCUGCUUUAAAGGGACCCUUUUAGGUUGAAAGGAUAGUUAAAUCUCUGUGUUGGCUUUUUGAUUGAAAUGAUCAACAAGGGGGCAAGUGAUUGUCAAUUAAGAAGAUGGCUUUUAUGUCUGUCAGUAUUUAUACUGUGCCCAUCUACUGAUUUCCACACAGACAAUUUAAAUUUCUCAAACAGGGACAGCUUUUGGUCAUUACUAACUUAGUCUGGAUUCAGUUCAGUCAGCUAACAGGAAAUGUAUGACCGUUUAUCUCUAGAGGCAUUUUACCUUCUUCCGAAUGAAGUAUAUUUAAAAUAAACUCACGCAGAUUUACAAGUACAGAGCAUUUUGGAAUUUCCCAUGCUGUAAGUGCAUUACUACGUGUACCAUAUGAAGACAUGAAUAAUAUAAUUGCGAAACGUGUAAAUGAUCACUCUGCAUCCUUGCAACGCAAGAUCAGGCCUGCAGAAACAGCAAGCAACUGCUGAUAAGGAGCAGCUACUAAGGGCUGACAAGGCUUCCUUCACAUGUUAUCUGUACCUUUAAUCAGGAAUGCAAUGAAGAACCAAUCUAGAAAUCAAUAAAUAGAUAAAGCCAAUGCUAAAACUAUCACCCAGUUCUACUAUCAGUAAUUCAAGCCACUUCUAAAAAUGAAUGCUGGAUAUUAAAAACCAGAAAGUAAACAGAGGGGAAGGAGAUAAGUAUAAAUGAAUGAAAGGGUAACGUGCUCAGUGACUUUCUUUUAAUUUGCCAGUGGAACAAAUACUUCGCUUCAAACCUUUAAUUAAAUAUAUUUCAUUCCUU